rnacentral:rRNA from 1 species
UCUCCUACGGGGAGCAGCUAAAGGGGGAACCCUGAUGCAGCGACGCCGCGCUGUAUUGAAGAAGUAUUUCGGUAUGUAAACUUCUAUCAGCAGGGAAGAAAAUGACGGUACCCUGACUGAGAAGCCCCGGCUAAAUACGUGCCAGCAGCCGCGGUAAUACGUAUGGGGCAAGCGUUAUCCGGAUUUACUGGGUGUAAAGGGAGCGUAGACGGAUGGGCAAGUCUGAUGUGAAAACCCGGGGCUCAACCCCGGGACUGCUUUGGAAACUGUGCAGCUAGAGUGUCGGAGAGGUAAGUGGAAUUCCUAGUGUAGCGGUGAAAUGCGUAGAUAUUAGGAGGAACACCAGUGGCGAAGGCGGCUUACUGGACAAUAACUGACGUUGAGGCUCGAAAGCGUGGGGAGCAAACAGGAUUAGAUACCCUGGUAGUCCACGCCGUAAACGAUGACUACUAGGUGUCGGGGAGCAAAGCUCUUCGGUGCCGCAGCAAACGCAAUAAGUAUUCCACCUGGGGAGUACGUUCGCAAGAAUGAAACUCCCAGAAUUUGACGGGG